rnacentral:rRNA from 1 species
GACGAACGCUGGCGGCGUGCCUAAUACAUGCAAGUCGAGCGAAGUGUUUCUGGUGCUUGCACCGGAAAAACUUAGCGGCGAACGGGUGAGUAACACGUAAAGAACCUGCCUCAUAGACUGGGACUACUAUUGGAAACGAUAGCUAAUACCGGAUAACAGCAUUACCUGCAUGGUUGAUGUUUAAAAGUUGGUCUUGCUAACACUAUGAGAUGGCUUUGCGGUGCAUUAGCUAGUUGGUGGGGUAAAGGCCUACCAAGGCGACGAUUCAUAGCCGACCUGAGAGAGGGAUCGGCCACCCUGGAACUUGGCCACCGCCCAUACGCCUACGGGAGGCAGCAGUAUGGAAUCUUCCGCAAUGGUCGAAAGCCUUACGGAGCAACGCCGCGUGAGCGAAGAAGGAUUUCGGUUCGUAAAGCUCUGUUUUUAGGGAAGAAUGAUUGUGUAGUAACUAGACACAGGAGAGACGGUACCUAACCAGAAAGCCACGGCUAACUACGUG